UACGGGGGGGGCAAGCGUUGUUCGGAAUUACUGGGCGUAAAGGGCGCGUAGGCGGCCACCGCAAGUCGACUGUGAAAUCUCCGGGCUUAACCCGGAAAGGUCAGCCGAUACUGCGGGCUAGAGUGCAGAAGGGGCAACUGGAAUUCUCGGUGUAGCGGUGAAAUGCGUUAGAUAUCGAGAGGAACACCUGCGGCGAAGGCGGGUUGCUGGGCUGACACUGACGCUGAUGCGCGAAAGCUAGGGGAGCGAACGGG
rnacentral:rRNA from 1 species